rnacentral:rRNA from 1 species
AACGCGAAGAACCUUACCUGGGCUCGAAAUGUUAUGGACCGGAGUAGAAAUAUUCCUUUCCCGCAAGGGACCGUAAUAUAGGUGCUGCAUGGCUGUCGUCAGCUCGUGUCGUGAGAUGUUGGGUUAAGUCCCGCAACGAGCGCAACCCUUAUCUUCAGUUGCUACCAUUUAGUUGAGCACUCUGACGAAACCGCCUCGGAUAACGGGGAGGAAGGUGGGGAUGACGUCAAGUCCUCAUGGCCUUUAUGUCCAGGGCUACACACGUGCUACAAUGGCCGGUACAAACCGUCGCAAACCCGUGAGGGGGAGCUAAUCGGAAAAAGCCGGCCUCAGUUCGGAUUGGAGGCUGCAACUCGCCUGCAUGAAGUCGGAGUUGCUAGUAACCGUGGGUCAGCACACCGCGGUGAAUAUGUUCCCGGGCCUUGUACACACCGCUAGUC